rnacentral:lncRNA from 1 species
UCGAUAUGAUAACAUAAUUAUUACAAUUAGUUGUGAUUGCUAGCAUCAAUUUUGGAUAAUUCUUUAAUCAUUUGACGUUUUUGCAAAUCAAAUCUAAAGCCAUAAACUCCGACUCCAUUGUUAAAAUGUAGAAUAUAUAUUUGUUAAGUUGACAAAUACGACACCAUUCCUCUUAGUUAACAUAAUAUUUUUCACAUAUAAAGCUAUUGAUGUAAGCAAUUUCUAAUAGGUUCGUUAUUCAUCAUCAUCAUUAUCGGAGCUUUUUUCCAACUAUUUGGGGUUGGCUACAUGAAUCCUAAGCUGCCAUUCUACUCUAUCAAUUGUCAUACUUUCAAUGAGGCUAUAAGUCCCAAUUUCUUUUCUCAUUCCUUCUAACCAUAUCCUUUGGACCUACCUUUUUUCCUUUUUGAGCCUUCUACUUGAACUUACUCGCACCUCCUAAUAGGUAUCGUAUUAGGUCUGCGCUGCACAUGCCCAGACCCACUUAAGUCUACAUUCUUUCAUCUUAUUGCUUAUUGGAGAGCCAUACCUAAUCUCAUGAAUAUAAUCAUUUUGAAUUCUAUUCCUUC